rnacentral:lncRNA from 1 species
AGUAGGCCUGAGUCAGUGAAGAGCUUUGGAGGGCGGGACUGAAUGGGGGUUAAUCAGAGGAUGCGAUUGCUGACCCUUUGCACUUUGGCAUGGCCCAUCCCCUAAUUUCUGACCAGAAGCCCUCCCUCUACCCUAAGGUGAGGACUGUGCUAUGAAUCUUUUGUUAGAAAGCUACCUCUUGGGAGGCUCUGGGGGCUCUUCUGGGACUGGGAAGAGACAUCCAAGAAAAAAAGCCUCCUGUGGUUAGGAAGAGCCCCCAGGAGGAGUGGGCUGGGCGAGGCGAGCACCCUCCCUCCUCCAAAAACCCUGGAGAGCUCUCCAACGGCAGUCUCUGCUGCCCUGGGGGCUGACGCUCUGCCCACUCCUGCUCCUUGGUCCGCUCCACCUUUCCUUAAAGAGCUAUAGCGUCCCGCAGAGGCCGGCGAGUCAGUUUGGGGAAUGUCUAAAAGAAGCACUCACGACUCCAACAAGGAGGGGCUGUCGCCCUUUAAGGACUUCCCCGGGCUGGAUUCCGAGCUCAGUUUAAAAAUGCCAACUCACAGAGCGCGCUGGGUUCUGGGAACGACGGUGUCAGGCUGAGAACUACACGGACCAGCAUGCAUUGCAAACGCAGACGCCGUGGCUUUCGCCUGCUCUUUAGGACUCUCGUUUGACGUAGCGCUUUUCUAAGCGGGUCGCUGACGCGGAGGGCUGGGC